rnacentral:rRNA from 201 species
AGAAGUCGUAACAAGGUUUCCGUAGGUGAACCUGCGGAAGGAUCAUUG